rnacentral:rRNA from 1 species
UUAGUCUUUUAAUUUGGGACUGGAAUGAAUGGUUUGACUGUGUGAAUCUGUCUUAUAGUAAUAUUUCGAAAUUUAUUUUUUAGUAAAAAAGCUAAAAUUCUCCUUAAAGACGAGAAGACCCUAUCAAACUUYACAAAUCUAGUCUAAUCUUCUGGAAUUAAGAUUUAKUUUGUUUUACUGGGGCAGUUGAUAGGUAAAAUUCUAUUUUUAUAUUGUGAAUUUAAUUCUUGAUAAAUCAAAAAUUUUUUAAAUAAAAAUAAGUUACUGUAGGGAUAACAGCAUAWUUUUUUUUAAGAGUUCUUAUUAUCAAAAAAGUUUGUGACCUCGAUGUUGGAUUAAGAAACCUUG